UACGUAGGGUGCGAGCGUUAAUCGGAAUUACUGGGCGUAAAGCGUGCGCAGGCGGUUUUGUAAGCCAGAUGUGAAAUCCCCGGGCUUAACCUGGGAAUGGCAUUUGGGACUGCAAGGCUCGAGUGCGGCAGAGGAGACUGGAAUUCCUGGUGUAGCGGUGGAAUGCGCAGAUAUCAGGAGGAACACCAAUAGCGAAGGCAGCUCGCUGGGACGUUACUGACACUGAGGCGCGAAAGCGUGGGGAGCGAACAGG
rnacentral:rRNA from 1 species